rnacentral:lncRNA from 1 species
AUCUUAAAGUCAGUAAAUUGCAGAUGUAAGAUUCAAAACCAGACUUCACAUCUACCGACUUCAGUGACCCUGAAAUUUGUUCACAGAGAGCAUUUAACAUAACUGUCUUCAUCAUCUCCUUCUCUACAUUAAAAAUUAUGGAGGCCUUACAAACUGGUAGAAGAUGCAUAACAGAAGAGCUUAUGAAGUUAAAGAUGACAGCAUAGCAGCACUGUUCACACAGACGUUAUUGGUGAUUCACUCUUGAGUCAUGAAAAGUCAACCUUGAGCCACAGAAAGUCAACCUUGAGCCAUGCAGAGUGGAGAGUCAUACAUGCCAUUCCUGGGACCAUCAAAAAUGGCAGAGGUCACACAAAAGGCAAAACUUUUAAGAGGUGUUUUAAACGUCGUAUGGGCCAAAGAGAAGCUGGAUUUCCUAUUGGAGUCAGCUGUAACACACGUGUGAUGAAAUUGGCCUGUGAGGACAAGGCAGUGAGCAGAGAGGACAGCAGUCCUUAUGAGAUCAAGCUCUAAG